UCUGAGUCCCUCUUUCCAACUCUGAGUCAUAGCUUGAAUUGGUAGUAUUUAUACCACAGAAAAUGGCAGAUACUACUAAAUUAGGGCUUUACCCCAAUACUUGCCAGUUGUUAAACUUUACAAUACACCCUUGAGAAGCUCUUAGAAGAUGUCAACUCAAUGAGAUGAAGGAUGCCGGGCACAUUUGUAAAUGUUCAAUAAACAGUGGCGAUUAUUAUAAUGAUUGGAAGUCUGAACAAUUUAGGUUAAAAGGCCUUCCCUGUCCCUUCUUCCUCCUCCCUCUCCCAAGACAGGGGAGGAUGUUUUGUUUGAAACAGCCUGUAUCAUUUCUGUAUGUUUUUUCCACACACCUCUACUCUCGGUUUUUCUAUGUGUUCAAGAUUGUGGUUAAGACCUAGAAGGUACAGCUGACUCUCAGUGGAGUCUUGGUAAUAAAGCUAUUCUCUAACUACCCUCUUUCCCACUGCUCUAAAGGACCAAGAGAGAGAGAGAGAGAAAAAAGGCUUCAAAUAAACUUACAUGCUAGAUAUUCAUAGCAAUUCUUUCCAGGAGGUAGGAGUAUUUCUGUUAUUAAUCUACAUUUCAUCAUUGUUCUAUAGUGGGCACUCCCCAUUUUAAGUAAGUUAAUCUUAAAAACAGAACAGAAGAAUUUUAAAAUGUUUUGAAAGGCCUAUCUGGGCAUAACUGGCUCGUGCGAAUAGUGGGAAGAGUGGAAUUAAGCAUGGAAGGGUUUCAGCUGGAAUGGAUGAGUCUCCCUGGCUGCCCAGCGUUUGGGGAUGAAUCAAUUAAAAGGAGGUGAAACAGGAAGGCAGCAGACAGGUCUCUGUAAACCCUGGAGUUUUUCUGUUGCUGUACCCUUUCUCCCACACUAGGGCCACCAUCCAUCCUCGUAGAUGACAUACGGGAUGUCUAUAAUGAAUAUGGAUUUGAUGUGAUUUCAUCUCUCUGCCAAACUAACUCACAGAACUAAUUCCACUUUAGACUAUGUUAAAUGAGGUUUUAAAAAGUGUAUUAGGGUCUAACUUUUGAAGUCUCUAAGCUAGAUCAAGAGGUGCAUUUGGGAGAAAGCUUUGGGGACAACUCUUUCCUCGUGUCCACGACUGGAGCCAUAUUUUUGGUGUCUUUGAUUUAUAAGGGUGAGAGACUGUGGGGAUCUGUCUUGAGAGAGUUUUGACUUUUAAAGGAUUCAACUAGUUGAAACCUUAUGUGCAUUUGGAAAUAAAGCUCUUUCAUAUCAUGGAGUCUAAAAGCUUGAAGGUGGGACAGGACCUCAGAGGUCAAUACUCUAAACCUAAAUCGGAUGCCUGAAUCCCCUCCUUUAUGUCUCUGCCCAGUUUCUAGCUUUGUCUGACACCCUCCCACAGCAGUUCUGUCCAUUUCAGGUGUAGUCCAUAGAGAGCCCUCCUCACAUUGACCCUAAACCCACCUUCCUGGAGCAUUCACCCAUUGUUCCAAGGUCUGGAAGGUGUGGGCAGGCACACACACAGGCACAAGCUAGUGAGGUUUGUAUAAGGAAAAAAACCAUUUUUGGAGUGAGUUAAUUCAACGUGACCAGCACUAAUGGAGCCAUCCUCUGUGUAUGAGGCCCUGAUCCAGGAACCGUGGAGAUACAAAAAUAAAUAAAAUGGAGGACCCACCCCCAAGGAGUUCACAAGGCACAGUUUAAUGUGUGUCCACCACAAACUCUAAUAUAAGGCAGAAGAUAAUCUGAAGAAGGAAAUGGAACCAACAUUUGUUGAGUACCGUUGAUGUGCCAGGCCCUGCCUUUCUUGUCACGGGUCUUGUGUCACCCUUGUGGGCUUGCUCAUUAAACUCGCUGAACUUCAUUUUCCUUAUUUGUGUAAUUUGAUGUUGGCCUAGAUGCCCUCUGAAGUGCCUUCCAGGCCUCAUAUCCUAUGAUUCAUCCUCCCUUUCCCGGUGGCCCCAGGCUUUUCCCUCUCCUAGGUUGGGCUGGCUAGGGAAAUGGGUGGGCAAGAGACAUUUUUUUGUUGUUGUCAUUCUUUUUCCCCCUCCCUGUGGGAUGUAUUGUGGACUUAGAAGCAGUUUGAACAAAGCACUCAGGAAUAAACCUCAGAGAACCAUCUAGAAUUGGCAGAGGAUAACCCUGUGACCCCAGAGGCCUUUUCCAGUUCUAAUUUUUAUGAUUCACUAAUUUGCUACACCACACUCAACUCUGUCCGGGAAUCCAGAGUUCAAAAAAGAUGCAAUGUAAAUUGCUGGAGGUAAUGAGAAGGGCCAGAAGCAUAGUUUUCAGUGAAAUUAAAUACAGGGCGAUAUUUAAGGAAGCCAGAGACUGUUCUUUUUUUUUUUUUUUCUCUCCCUUUCUCUGAGAGACUCCCUUUUUAAAGUGGGUAGGGUAAAUUUCAGGGUUCCCCCUCCCAGUGGUAUGACUAGGUUUCUGCUAUGUUAUGACUCCAGUAGAGCUGCUGUAUCUGUUUUAUAGCCUCCCCCAAAGCUAUUGAAUGCAGACGUGGUUGUUUAGCCAUGAAUUCUGUCACAAUUAAAAAAAAAUCACUUUUGAAGUGGGAUAUGCUGUGUAGGAAGACCAGUGUUCUAUAAAUAUGUAUGUCUUUGCUGAGAGAUUUGCUGAGGGCAAGGAGCACUAACUUGGUAUUUGAUGAGUCUCAUGAAUUUUUAGUGCUUUCUACAUUUCCCCAACUUUGGAGAAUCUUUAUGCCUUUUGAUGACCUCUUCGCAACUUUGCAUUAAAAUUAUGUAGCGCAUGGGACGUCCGGGUGGCUCAGUGGUUGAGCAUCUGCCUUUGGCCCAGGGCGUGAUCCUGGAGUCCUGGGAUCGAGUCCAGCAUCGGGCUCCCUGCGUGGAGCCUGCUUCUCCCUCUGCCUAUGUCUCUGCCCCUCUCUCUGUGUGUCUCUUGUGAAUAAAUAAAUAAAAUCUUAAAAAAUAAAAGUUAUGUAGAGCAGGUAUGAUACAAGUAGGAUAACUGUUCCAGAACUACAGUAUUGCUGGAGUCCAGUGGCUUCUGGCAUGUAUCUGAGCUCAGUAGGGGUUCGUUCAGUGGACCAAUGGAAGGAAAGGGCUGGCAAGCCCAGUGCACAGCUAUGUGGGAGGACAGGGACUGUCAGUACUGUGGAGUCCCAUUUCACCUGGGCCCACGUUCUGUGGUCAGCUAUAAGGUGCCCACCAUGCCUGCUUAAAAUUAUUGGUGAAAACUCCAUACAAAAGCAUCAUGUUGGAGACCGGCAUACAUUUCAGAUGAUUUUCCUUUUAUGUUGCAUCAUAUUGCUGUUUUUUGGUAGGCACUGGAAGAAGAGGUGAGUGCAGGUUUAGGGACCAUGUUCUAUUUAAAAAAAAGUCUUUAAAAGCUGGACUUGCUCUCAGAAAAGGCACUUCCCAAAACACCUGAGGCUGGAGACCACAGAACAAAGAGUAGAUUCGUAUUCUUCAUCUCACUUGCUCCCUGUGGCAGAUGCCUAUGGAGAAAAACAUCAGGCUUAUUUCCCAGCCUGAUUUAAAUAGUUACUUUUGCUUUUACUAUCUUUCUCUCAUUUUCUUUUUUACCCCAAAUAUGGAAAGUUGAAUUUACAAGACAAAUGGGUACCUGAUGCAAACAAACUGUGUGAAGAUUGAUGUGUGUUAUCUCCUUUGCAAGAAUCCUGCAGAUUUUAGAUACUUAAACCAUGGCUGCCCUUGCUCGACGUGUUUUCAGAAGGGUGCAACCUACCAGGUGCACACAUCUUCCCAGAGCACCAGGCUCGCACUGAAGCUGAGAGAGCUCCCACUUCAAUUCAGGCCUUGAUCACCUCAAAUCAGGACUAUGGGAGGUGUUUUUAAGUCAGUGAUUUUUGACACUUUUAACUGUGACCCACAGUAAAAAAUUUAUUUUGUAUCCUGACAUCACAAACACAUCUACAAAAUAAAA